AUCGGGUUUUCUACACAUUGAUAUCGUAAAAUAUCAGCCGCGAGCCACAAUGUGAACCUUUUUGGCGAGUGAGCAUAGCGAACGAGCUAAAAAGUUUCACAUUGUGUCGAGCGGCUGAUAUUUUACGAUAUCUAUACGUAGAAAACCCGAU
rnacentral:sRNA from 1 species